GUUCUUAUAAUUUAAGAAUAAAAUAUUAAUUUUGUAAAUUAAUAAUGAUUAUAUCUAAGAACU
rnacentral:tRNA from 1 species